GGUAGGGCCUCCGGACCUGGUGGCUGGCUUGGUCUUCAAAACCAAUGGGGGACGUUGAGAGACGUCCUUGGCGAGUUCGAUUCUCGUGCUCUACCGA
rnacentral:tRNA from 1 species